UACGGAGGGAGCUAGCGUUGUUCGGAAUUACUGGGCGUAAAGCGCACGUAGGCGGCUUUGUAAGUUAGAGGUGAAAGCCCGGGGCUCAACUCCGGAAUUGCCUUUAAGACUGCAUCGCUUGAACAUCGGAGAGGUAAGUGGAAUUCCGAGUGUAGAGGUGAAAUUCGUAGAUAUUCGGAAGAACACCAGUGGCGAAGGCGACUUACUGGACGAUUGUUGACGCUGAGGUGCGAAAGCGUGGGGAGCAAACAGG
rnacentral:rRNA from 1 species